rnacentral:lncRNA from 1 species
CUCAGAUGAGGAAAAUCUGCCUGGAAAACACAGAGACCACAUAAUAGAGCAGUGUACAGCUCAACAAGCAGGAGGGUUGGCCAAUACAACAGAAGGUUUGGAUAACCUGUCUUCUGGUGCCAAGUAAAACCUCCAUUGAAUUUUGUACUGCUACCAUACCAUAGCACCAACUAUGCCAACUAGCACCGACAGGCAAUGGAAAAGGAGCCCAGAAAACAAUUUGUUUAUUAUAAGCAGGUCAGUCCUCGAGGGGACUCAUGGAAUCACGCAGUGGGAGAGGACAAUCAUGGCACUGAAAUGGUGGGUAAUUUUAUUUGUUCCACUUGAUGGUCACAGUGGCAUCAUGCUGGCCAAUUACUCUUGAGUCAGCAGGUUUCAG